CCCCAGUUGGUCGUGAUGCUAAAGAUGCAGUCACUAAGGGUGGCUAAAUCAUAGCGGGUGGUGGUGCUGGUUGAAUCAUUGUGACUACCACCAAUCCUGGCAGGCCUUUGUGCCACAGAAUUACAAAAAGCAGGACGAUCUGAACAAGUGGACACAAUGCAUGGAUGCUCAUAGGUCACUUGCAUGGCUUUUCAUGCUAACCAGGCACAGACUGUAUGAGAAAUGGCGGAGCUUUCCCUGGAGAUGACGGCGUCCUCUGAUUACCACCACAGGCAAAAUAUUAAAGUGUCCCACAACACAGCAAGAGCUGUUUUCAAAGAGGAAACACCAACAGCUGUUCUAAAAUAGCUUUAGUACAUCUGUAAGAGAGAAACAUUACAAUUACAUAAUUGUUAUGUUUCAGAUCUCCUUUGUAAAGUUCUUACUUUAGAAUGUAUUGAUGAUAAGGCACGUACAUUAAAUUAUGGGCAGUUACAGCAAUAAACAAUACAAGUUAGAAAGAUUUAAAUGUUUUUACAGGCUUUUCUAAAUAAUGAUUUUGCAUUAAUUGUAGUAGGAAUCCAACCAUGUUGCCUUUAGUUGUUUGAAUUCAUGCAAGUUACAUAUGAACUCAGGACGAGAAAAUGUGUACAGUGAUAAACUCUUGUUUUAGGUUUUGGUGCAAAUACAAGCUUCUUCAUGAAAAUACAUGUACAAUAAGUUCUAUACUAUGCUAUUACUAUUUACAGAUGUGUAUAAAAAACACUACCACUUAAAA